GAAAUGCGAUAAGUAAUGUGAAUUGCAGAAUUCAGUGAAUCAUCGAAUCUUUGAACACACCUUGCGCUCCUUGGUAUUCCUUGGAGCAUGCCUGUUUGAGUAUCAUGAAAUCUUCAAAGUAAAUCUUUUGUUAACUCAAUUGGUUUCUACUUUGGUAUUGGAGGUCUUUGCAGCUUCACACCUGCUCCUCUUUGUUCAUUAGCUGGAUCUCAGUGUUAUGCUUGGUUCCACUCGGCGUGAUAAGUUAUCUAUCGCUGAGGACACUGUAAAAGGUGGCCAAGGUAAAUGCAGAUGAACCGCUUCUAAUAGUCCAUUGACUUGGACAAUACUUAUAUGAUCUGAUCUCAAAUCAGGUAGGACUACCCGCUGAACUUAAGC
rnacentral:misc_RNA from 1 species